UGGCGAACGGGUGAGUAAUGCAUCGGAACGUGCCCAAUCGUGGGGGAUAGCCCGGCGAAAGCCGGAUUAAUACCGCAUACGACCUACGGGUGAAAGCGGGGGACCUUCGGGCCUCGCGCGAUUGGAGCGGCCGAUGUUAGAUUAGGUAGUUGGUGGGGUAAAGGCUCACCAAGCCGACGAUCUAUAGCUGGUCUGAGAGGACGACCAGCCACACUGGAACUGAGACACGGUCCAGACUCC
rnacentral:rRNA from 1 species